UUCAUUUCAUGCCUUCGAUCCAGCUGUUAUGAAAUGGGUUCUCCCUUCGGAGGAAGCACAAGGUGCCACAUGUCUCCAAGUCUCCACAUCUUCAUUCUUGAUCUUUCAUUGUAAUGAUUGCUCCAUCUUGGGCCAAAAAACAAUGACCACAGCAGCAAACCAUUGGUUUUAGAAAAAGCUUUCAUUGGAACCCUUGGUUCAAGUUCUAGAACUCACAGGUAAGGAUGCUAUGAAAACCCCUUGGGAAAACAAAGACACCUUGAGGGCCAUUGAGAACUUCUGGUGAAGAGACCUCAGCUGCCAGACCUGUUCAAGAAAGACUUCAGAAAUCUCUAGGGGGCUGUCAGAAGAAAAGGUCUGAAAAGGGUCUGGAGAGACUGAAAUUUGUCUGCCUUGGACUUUUCUUUUGACAAUUCACAUCCAUCUUAAGCAGAAUUGUUGUUUAUUCUUAUUAUGCCAGGUUUCCUUUUCUGGUCUGCAGGUUCUCUAGGGUUUCAUAGACUAGUAGUGUGAAUUUUAAAAUUUCAAAAGCAUCAGGGAUUUCACAGAAACAAAAUAUAAAGGAUACUCAGCAGCAAAGUUUACUUAGGAGGUUUUAAUCAUAAUAAUCUGCAUAAUGUAUGAGAAUUUCUACCUCAACUGUCUGUUUCCUUUCUUUCUCUUUCGUGUCUGGGAAAAAGCCAGGGAUUUUUCCCUUCCUCUGAUUUAAAUACCUUAUAAAAUUUUGGUGGAAGCAUUUUGUUCUAUUCUGUCUUCCUGAUUCAUUUUCUGCUGUAAUGAACAAAAUUAAUUGGCAAGAGCUGCCACUGACACAGUGUAGUAACCUGGGUCAUAGGUAGAAUCAGUGCCACCUUAUGACCCUUAGCUGUCAUUACAUUAACGAAUUUGGCACAUUCAUCAAAGGCCAGAAUGCAAUGUGGGUUUACAUCCUACAGCUUUUGAGAUCUCAGAGACUUACUGCACCCGUGGCUGGGAAUGAACUGUAAAUGCUGACACCGGUAACUAGGUGCCAAACGGAAGUGAGUGCAACUUAAUCUGAGCCAAAAGGCAUUGCUUUGCAUGAAGCAAGAUCAGACUCCCA
rnacentral:lncRNA from 13 species